GACGAACGCUGGCGGCGUGCUUAACACAUGCAAGUCGAACGAAGUGGCGAACGGGUGAGUCAUACGUCGGUAACCUGCCCUCCUUUUUGGGAUAAGCCUUGGAAACGGGGUCUAAUACCGAAUAAAGGGGGAUGGGCUCCCGGCAUAUCGGAUUGUUGGUGGGGUGAUGGCCUACCCAGGAGUUGACGGGUUGCCGGCCUGCAAGGGUUACCGGACACAUUAGGACUGAGAUACGGCCCAGACUCCCACCGGGGGAAGCAGUGGGAGAUAUUGCACAAUGGGCUAGAGCCUGAGGCAGCGACGCCGCGUGGGGGAUGGAGGCUUUCGGGUUGUAAACCUCUUUGGCUAUCGAACAGGUAGGUGGAGAAGAAGCGCCGGCUAACUACGUGCCAGCAGCCGCGGUAAUUC
rnacentral:rRNA from 1 species